UGUGACCCCAGGUCUGGUGGGAUUACCAGCAAGGUUUAAACAUAUCAAUAAGCAGAGGAAAAGAAACUUACUAGGAUUCUCCAAUUAACGACGAGCAAAUCGGGAAAAGCCUAGCUUAAGAAUCAGGUGCCAUCGGUGUUCAAAUUUUAGUUUGGAAAAGCGUCUUCAGUGGCGGACCAGGCCCAAGUCCCUUAGAAAGGGGCAUUGAAGAGGGUGAAAGCCUGUCGUGCCUGGACCCUGUUGCAUCACGAGGCAUUGUUUACGAGUCGGGUUGUUUGGGAAUGUAGCCCUAAUCGAGUGGUAAAUUCAGUCCAAGGCUAAAUUCGGGCGAGAGACUGAUAGCGAACAAGUACCGUGAGGGAAAAAUGUAAAGGACUUUGAAAAGAGAGUCACAGAGUGCUUGAACUUGUCAGGAGGGAAGUGGAUGGGGGUUGGCGUUGCACCUUGGUCGAAUAUGGAACAACGAGAAUUGGUCCGUUGACCGGCUCAGGGUAUGGACCAACGCGGGUCAUGGCGGCGGCCCAAGCCUGGCCUUUGAUAUGCUUGUGGAGACAUCGUUUCCUCGAUUGUGGGAUCUAGCACAUGCCGUAUCAGCUUGCUUUGGCAUCUGCAUGCUCCGGGUGUAGGCUUGCGGGCUCGCCAUUAAGCCUGCUUUGAAACAUAGACCAAGGAGUCUGACAUGUGUGCGAGUCAACGGGCUAGAAAACCCGUAAGGCGCAAGGAAGCUGAUUGGCGGGAUCCCUCGCGGGUGCACCGUUGACCGACCUUGAUCUUAUGAGAAGGGUUCGAGUGAGAGCAUGCCUGUCGAGACCCGAAAAAUGGUGAACUAUGCUUGAGAAAGGCGAAGCCAGAGGAAACUUUGGUGAAGGCCUGCGACGAUACUAAUGUGCAAAUUGUUCGUCUGACUUGGGUAGAGGGGCGAAAGACUAAUUGAACCAUCUAGUAGUUUGGUUCCUUCUAAAGUUUCCCUCAGGAUAGUUGGAGCCGUUAGCGAGUUCUAUCGGGUAAAGCCAAUGAUUAGAGGCAGCGGGUGUGCAAUGCCCUCAACCUAUUCUCAAACUUUAAAUAGGUAGGACGACGUGACCGUUUUGUUGAGCCGUGCCAUAAAAUCGAGAGCUCUAAGUAGGCCAUUUUUGGCAAGUAGAACUGGCGAUGCAGGAUGAACUGGAAGCUAGGUUACGGUGUCAAACUGCACGCUAACAUAGAACCUGCAAAGGGUGUUGGUCGAUUAAGACAGCAGGAUAGUGGUCAUGGAAGUUGAAAUUCGCUAAGAAGUCUGUAACAACUCACCUGUCGAAUCAACUAGCCCCGAAUAUGGAUGGCACUUAAGCACGCGACCUAUACCCGGCAAUCAAGGUGAGGACCAAGCCCUGAUGAGUAGGAGGGCACGAUGGUCACCGUAAAACCUGAGGCGUGAGUUCGGGUGGAGCGGCCGUUGGUGCAGAUCUUGGUGGUAGUAGCAAAUAUUCAAAUGAGAACAUGGAUGGCCGAAGAGGGGAAAUGUUCCAUGUGAACGGCACUUGCAAAUGGGUUAGUCGAUCCUAAGAGACGGGGAAGCCCGUACAGUAGAACAUCUAGAGUGAGCUUCGAAAGAGAAUCAGAUUAAAAUUCUUGAACCGAGAAGCGAAAGUUGACAACAAUGUUAGGGAGUCUGAAAACAUCAGCGGGGGCCUCGAGAAGAUUUAUCUUUUUUGUUUAAAGGCCUGCCCACCCUGGAAACGGCUCAGCCAUACGUAGGACGGAAAAGCACCACAUGUGGUGUGGUGUCCGGUGUAGCCCCGGCGGCCCUUGAGAAUCUAGAGGACCGAGUGCCAUUCGCACCUGGUCGUAUUCAUAACCGUAUCAAGUCUCCAAUAUGAACAACCUCUGGUCAAUGGAACAAUGUAAGCAAGGGAAGUCGGCAAAAUGAAUAUGUAAACUCGGGAAAAGAAUUGGUUCUAAGGGUUGGGCACGGGGGCCCCAGUCCUGAACUCAUCAGCUGUUGGUGUAUUGCUUGAACUGCUCCCGCGAUACGAGGAGGUUACCGCAUGCCAGCCAGGGGACGGACUGAGAAUGGCUACUUCGGAAGCCUUCCCUGGGUGAUGAACAGUUGACUCAGAAUUGGCAUGGACAAGGGUAAUCUGACUGUUUAAGUAAAACAAAGCCUUGCGAUGGUCCCUACUGAUGCUCACGCAAUGUGAUUUCUGCCCAGUGCUCUAAAUGUCAAAGUGAAGAAAUUCAAGCAAGCGUAGGCAAACGGAGGAAGUAACUAUGACUCUCUUAAGGUAGCCAAAUGCCUUGUCAUCUAAUUAGUGACACGCAUGAAUGGAUAAAUGAGAUUCCCACUAUCCCUAUCUACUAUCCAGCAAAACCAUGGUCAAGGGAACGGGCUUGGUAGAAUCAGCGGAGAAAGAAGGCCUGUUGAGCUUGACUCUAGUCCAACUUUGUGAAAUGACUUGAGAGGUGUAGGAUAAGUGGGAGCUCUUGGGCGAAAUUGAAAUACCACUACUUUUAACGCUAUUUUACUUAUUCGGUAAAUCGGAGGCGGGGCAUGGCCCCUCUUUUUGGACCCAAGGUCAGCUUCGGUUGGAUGAUCUGGGUAGAAGACAUUGUCAGGUGGGGAGUUUGGCUGGGACAGCACAUCUAUUAAAAGAUAACAAAGGUGUCCUAAGAUGAGCUCAACGAGAAUAAAAAUCUCGUAUGGAACGAAAGGGUGAAAGCUCAUUUGAUUUUGAUUUCCAGCAUGAAUACAAACCAUGAAAGCGUGGCUUAUCGAUCCUUUAGACAUUCAGAAUUUGAAGCUAGAGGUGUCAUAAAAGUUACCAUAGGGAUAAUUGGCUUGUGGCAGCCAAGCGCUCACAGCGACGUUGCUUUUUUAUCAUUCGAUGUCGGCUCUUCCUAUCAUUGUGAAGUAGAAUUCACUAAGUGUUGGAUUGUUCACCCACCAAUAGGGAACGUGAGCUGGGUUUAGACUGUCAAGAGAUAGGUUAGUUUUACCUUACUGAUGGCUGUGUUGCAGUAGUAAUUCAACCUAGAAAGAAGGUGGCCGCAGGGGAGUGAGUGCGCAUAUGAAUUAGUUCAAAGAAGUCAUGGACGACUUAGAUCUAGUGUAUAUUAAACAUGAUAGUGGAUGGUUUACCUGGGUUAAAAAUAGGAGUGAGUGGAGUUUGAUAAAGGAAAGAAUUGAUAGAUUCCUCACCUCGAUUUUAGUGGUUAAAAACUUCCUUUUUAUAGGUACCAAAGUAGUAAGA
rnacentral:rRNA from 1 species